AACGCACCUUGCGCUCCUUGGUAUUCCGAGGAGCAUGCCUGUUUGAGUGUCAUUAAAUUCUCAACUAUACAAGUUGUAUCAACUUUGUAUAGCUUGGAUUUUGGGAUUAUGCAGGCUUGUUAUCACGAGUCAGCUAUCCUUAAAUGCAUUAGCAAAGCUUUUGUGUUGCUGAUCUUUGGUGUGAUAAUUAUCUACGCCAUUGAAAAGCAUCAUAAUGUUUCCAAUGGCUUAGCUUCUAAUCGUCUAUGUGACAAUAUCUUGACAACUUGACCUCAAAUCAGGUAGGACUACCCGCUGAACUUAA
rnacentral:misc_RNA from 1 species